ACGCUCGACACCUACGGCAGCAGUAGGGAAUCUUCCACAAUGGGCGCAAGCCUGAUGGAGCAACACCGCGUGAGUGAAGAAGGGUUUCGGCUCGUAAAGCUCUGUUGUUGGAGAAGAACGUGCGUGAGAGUAACUGUUCACGCAGUGACGGUAUCCAACCAGAAAGUCACGGCUAACUACGUGCUAGCAGCCGCGGUAAUCUGAGCGGGCUGGCAAGGC
rnacentral:rRNA from 1 species